GCUGGGUGUGGUGACUCACACCUGUAGUCCCAGCUACUCAGGAGGCUGAGGCAGGAGGAUCACUUGAGCCUGGGAAGUCAAAGCUGCAGUGAGCCGAGAUUGCACCAUUGCACUCCAGCCUGGGCAAGAGAGUGAGACCCUGUCUCAA
rfam:Homo sapiens chromosome 12, GRCh38 reference primary assembly.